CCCUUAGAUGUUCUGGGCCGCACGCGCGCUACACUGACACACUCAACAAGCUUAUAACCUUGUCCGAGAGGUCUGGGAAAUCUUUGAAUAUGUGUCGUGAUGGGGAUAGAUCGUUGCAAUUCUCGAUCUUCAACGAGGAAUUCCUAGUAAACGCAAGUCAUCAGCUUGCGUUGAUUACGUCCCUGCCCUUUGUACACACCGCCCGUCGCUCCUACCGAUUGAAUGGUCCGGUGAAGCGUUCGGACCGUGGCCUUUGGACGGUUCGCCGUCUGUUGGCUGCGGGAAGUUCGUUAAACCUUAUCAUUUAGAGGAAGGAGAAGUCGUAACA
rnacentral:rRNA from 1 species